rnacentral:snRNA from 1 species
AUACUUACCUGGCAGGGGAGAUACCAUGAUCACGAAGGUGGUUUUCCCAGGGCGAGGCUUAUCCAUUGCACUCCGGAUGUGCUGACCCCUGCGAUUUCCCCAAAUGUGGGAAACUCGACUGCAUAAUUUGUGGU